AAGCUGGCUCUAGGGACGUGGAAUGUCACCUCUCUGGCAGGGAAGGAGCCGGAGCUGGUGUGUGAGGUCGAGAAGUUCCGACUAGAUAUAGUCGGACUCGCCUCCACAAACAGCUUGGGCUCUGGUACCAGUCCUCUUGAGAGGGGUUGGACUGUCUUCCACUCUGGAGUUAUGUAACUAGAUAGAUAUAGUUAUAUAAUUAACCCUUUUAAAAACAAGUCAUCACAAACAUCAUAAUGGCUAUAAAGGUGGUAGUCGUCUGUGUAGAAGAAAAAACUCCUUUCUAUGACUUUUCUGCAUGUUUGAUGUUGUCAGCAGCCAAUGGUGUGAAUGUAUGUGCUGUGCCGAGCUGGUAAAUGAUUGCUAGUGUUGGAGGAGCUGGACAGAAAAAGGGAGGAAGAGGCCAGUUGGAGAAGGAGAUGCUGCUUUUGGAAGUGGGGCCUGCUGACUUGGAAGCUCCCUGACGUCAUGUUGAAGCGCCGCGUCUUCCGAGUAAGGAAUGCUCUGCUGAGAGAGUGCAUGGCCGAGUUCUUGGGGACCUUUAUCUUGUUGCUUUUUGGCUGCUCGGCGGCAGCGCAAGUGAAGACCAGCAGGGAGACCAAAGGCCAGUUUUUGUCGGUCAACAUGUCCUUCUCAGUGGGCGUGAUGUCGGCCAUGUACCUCACCAAAGGCAUCACAGGGGCCCAUCUGAACCCGGCCGUAACGCUCAGUUUCUGUGUGUUGGGCCAGGUGCCAUGGAAGAGGAUGCUGCCCUAUUGGCUCUCCCAGGUUCUGGGAGCAUAUGUGGCAUCGGGGCUUGUCUACACGGUGUACUAUGAUGCUAUAAUGGAUUUUAGUGGCAGAGUAUUGACUGUGUAUGGACCAAAUGAGACGGCGUCCAUAUUUGCCACAUAUCCCUCUAAGUAUGUCACCUUGGGAAGGAGCUUCCUGGAUCAGGUAGUGGGCACCGGCAUGCUCAUGUUGUGCAUCCUAUGUUUGGAUGAGAAGAGGAAUACCCCGGCUCCCAGCGGGCUGAUUCCCGCCAUCGUGGCCGCGAUCGUGCUGGGCAUCUCCAUGUCCAUGUCGGGCAACUGUGGAGCGGCCAUAAAUCCCGCCCGUGAUCUGGGACCUCGACUUUUUACUCUGACUGCAGGCUGGGGCUCAGAAGUGUUCACGUGUUACAACUACUGGUUCUGGGUGCCUCUGGUGGCCCCCCUUCUUGGGGGUGUUUCAGGUUCUUUCCUCUAUUUAAUCUUCAUCCACUGGCACCUCCCCGACUCGGAUACACCCAAAGAUGUGGACACGCCCUCCAUUGCCAGCGACACAGUCAAGCAGCCCUCAAACAUGCAGCUGAAUGGCAUUGAGUUAAAGAAGUUGUCAUUUGAAGACGUUUACGGAAGACGCUAACAAGCAGACAUUUUUUCUGUCUUCAAGUUAGUAAGAAGACUUGUUGUUUUUUUUACAUCAUGCAUCAAUGAGGGGAAGCAGCGCAACAUCAUGGAUGAGUUUCUCAAGCAAGGAAGCAGGAAUAUGGAAAAGAAUGCAAGCUUUCCUCCCCCUCCCCUGCUCCAUCAUCAUCAUCUUCCUCAUCGUCGUCAUCAUCCAGCAUCUCCUCACAACAACUCACAACCUCAUGGUGACCUCAGACAGCGUGAGGAGCAGCGAGGAUGCCUCCACUGGACUCAUUUCACUAACACCAACUUUGAGGAGGUACAUUUGAUUCCGGCUGCCUGAGCUUUCAGUGGAUGAGGUUUUCCCUUUCAGCCUUCAUGUAUGAUUGUUUACACUUAUGUAGGACUGGGGAUCACUGUGUGCGUGUGUGCGUGUACGUACAAUAUUACUACUUUGUGGGAAUGCUCACAAUAUGGGGUCCAAAAAUGUCUGAUUAUCAUCAAUAUGUAGAUCAACUUGUAGAUUUUUAUUUUAAUAUAAAAGGCAUAGUCUGGUUGGAAAUGACACAAGAAAGUGACAUGUUGAUGUGAAUACAGUGAUGCAUUCAAAUACAAGUGACCCGACUUAAAACGCUUUUCAAGCUACGAGAUGUCGUUUAUCAGAUUUUUUUGGCUUUGAAGUGCGAGCAAAAAUUCAAGAAUACGACGAGCACUGAAUGGUGGCGGUGAACUCAACGCACUUCACAAAGAGCAGCAGUUUGGCACAUCGUGAGCAAUUCUUCAAAAAAGAGGCUUCAAGCUGUUUAUUGCCAUUCGCAGUUAAAAGUUGAUUGUCAAAUUAAACAUAUGGAGUAUUAUUGUUCUUAUUAAAAAAGCAGAAUUGUUAAUUUCUUUGGGAGGGAGUUUGGAACAGAUUAUUGGCAUUUCCAAUCAUUUCAGUGAGGAAAAAUGAAUUGUGAUAAGAGUGUUGUGAGUUAUGACACCAGUUGGACACUUAGAAAUUCACCAAUUCAAAAUUUUUGAAGUAUACUGUAUGAAUUUUACCUUUUAGGCUUAUCUAUAUCCAUUUCCUAUGCAUAACAUUUAUCUCUACAUUUAAGAGUUUUACUUGUGAUCAGAUAUCUAUGUCUUUGUCUUGAUGUAGUGAAGCAGCAUUUGGCUCAUUGCCAAAAGUUAUUUUCACAUUCCCUGUUCUAAGUAAAUGUAAACAUGAAAUGUUUAUGAUUAUUACGACGCAGCUCAUGUUUAGUUCAAGUGUGACAAUGGUUGCUGCUGUUGUCAGAGGACAUUGUAUACUGCAUUUCAGGAAUUAAGACAAAUCCUUGUUUCCCAGUGUUUAUGGCAGUAUAGAAACUAUGUGUUGCGUUUAUGUAAUUUCAUCAAACAUACUGUUUGUAAUGCGGCUGGAUGCUUUGGAAUGGGUGAGAGAUGUGGAUGGCUGGAUUAUUUCAUGUUGUGUUUUCUAUGUUAUCUUUUUCUUUUAUUUGUAUUUUUAUUUUUUUAUUUUAUUUUAAAUAUUUUGUAUUUUAUUUUCCUAUGUUUUAAAUUUUUAUUCUUCAGGAUUUUUAUGUAGGAUAUUUUUUUUCUAUAACUAUCUUUCUAUAACUGCAUUUCUUUUGUCUGUAUUUUUCUGCAACACAAAGAAAGCAUUUUUUGGUUUAUUAUCACAUCCCCUCCAUCGUGUGGGUUACUUUCCCGACCCCUCCCCGUUAAGGGAAAAGGCACAAAACAGAAAUACCCUGUUUAAAUGUACUUUAGGCAUGUUUUUAUAACAUUUACAGUACUUUGUUUAUUUAAAAAGGGGCGGCACGGUGGCCGACUGGUUAGAGCGUCAGCCUCACAGUUCUGAGGUGCGGGGUUCAAUCCCCGUACCUGCCUGUGUGGAGUUUGCAUGUUCUCCCCGUGCCUGCGUGGGUUUUCUCCGGGCACUCCGGUUUCCUCCCACAUCCCAAAACAACAUGCAUUAAUUGGAGACUCUAAAUUGCCCGUAGGCAUGGCUGAGAGUGUGAAUGGUUGUUAGUUUCUAUGUGCCCUGCGAUUGGCUGGCAACCAGUUCAGGGUGUACCCCGCCUCCUGCCCGAUGACAGCUGGGAUAGGCUCCAGCACGCCCGCGACCCUAGUGAGGAGAAGCGGCUCAGAAAAUGGAUGGAUGGAUGGAAGAUCAAUGGAUAACACCAAAGUAUUGUACAACCAAUAGUGUUGUAACACUCAAAUCCCGGUCUCCAGACCAGUUUCGAGACAACAUUUUGAAAGUCUUGGUCUUGUCUCGGUCUCGGAUUGGCCGGACUCAGGCAAGACCAGCAUUGAUUUGCUACUCUCCAACUUCAUUAAUGUGAUGAUGUGUGUGAUAAAACAGCAAAUACCUUCAAUUCAUGAGUUUAUAACCACCCACCACACCACAACCUUCCUCAACCGCAAAGACUUAAUAUGUAAAAAAAAAAAAACAUGCUACAUUUUAUAUAAUGUUAUUUAAUAGCACAUCUGCCUCACAGUUCUGGGGACGGGGGUUCAAAUCCCGGCCCUGCCUGUGUGGAAUUUGCAUAGUCUCCCCGUGCCUGCGUGGGUUUUCUCCGGGCACUCCAGUUUCCUCUCACAUCCCAAAAACAUGCGUGAUAGGUUGAUUGAAGACUCUAAAUUGCCCGUAGGUGUGAAUGUGAGUGCGAAUGGUUGGUUGUUUGCGAAUGGUUGGUUGUUUCUAUGUGCCCUGCGAUUGGCUGGCGACCGGUUCAGGGUAUACCCCGCCUCCCGCCCGAAGAUAGCUGGGAUAGGCUCCGGCAGCCCGUGAUCCUAGUGAGGAUAAGCGGUAAAAGAAGAUAGAUGGAUGGAUGGAUGGAUGUUAUUUAAUAUUUAAUUGUUCAUACCAUUUUCUAUUUUGUAUUUAUCAUGUUUUUUAUUUAGUGUAUUUUGUAUUUUUUGCUAAUUUAUUUUAAUUCUGCAUUUUAAUUCAAUUUAGCUUUUUGUAUUUUUCAAUUUAAAUUAUUUAUGCAAUGUUAUUUAAUGUGUAAUUAUAUUUCAUAUUUUCACUUUUAUUUUUUAUUGUAUUGGAUGUUGUUUUUGUAUUUUUCUUCAAUUUCAUUACAUCAUUUUUGUAAAUUUUGUCUUUCAAAUGUAUUUCUCUUAUUCUACAUUAGGCCUAUGCAUUAUUUAAUGUUUUUAUGCUUUUAUUUGCAUUUUUCUUUUUUUUAACAAAAACAAAUUUGGUGUGGCUCAGGUGGUAAAAUGGUCGACUCCCAACCCGACAGUUGUCGGGUCGAUCCUGAGCCCCAUGUGACCAAGAUAUUGAACCCCCAGUUGCUUCUUUUGUUGUCAUCAGUAGGUGAAUGUGGACAGUGUUAAAAGCUUCGAAAGUAGAAAAGUACUAUAAAAGUGAAAGCCCUUUGAGCAUUUCCCACGUAAAUGUAAAUGCAAGGAUAAGGACUUGUGUGUGUGUGUGUAGAACAGCAAGGUCAUUAGUGUAGCAGACAUGUCUGAGCAGGAAGGUACUGAAGUGAAGUCUUUGUGUAAAUGAAAUUACUCCACAAGAGAUGCACACUAAAUGAAUUAGGCUUUAACCUCAUAGUUGUUAUUUUUAUACUAGAGGAGAUGUCAUACAUUCACAAGGCACAUUUUAAUCUUGUAAAUGAAAAGAAAAAUCUGCCCAACCCAAUGUAGAGUAUUUAUUGAAAAGGGUUAAGAAUUUGUCAAAAUGGGAAAAAAAUGGUACCUUUACCUUUUAAAAAAAGAAAGAAAAGAAAGCAUGAUUGAUCAGACAAAACAAUUCUUUAUUUUUUGAUGGGAUUCCAAUUAAACUAUAAGGCAUGUGAGAAUAGCACAAUCAUUAAACAAAACAACAAAGAAAAUAAUGAGAUGAUCCUUAUUCAGUCACCAAUAUUUAAAAAAAAAAAAAAGGGCAAUAUUUCACAAAUUCUGCUAAGGUACUGCAUGUUAACCUACAGUAUGAGCAAAACUGUACAUUUGUAAUAGUCUCUUGCA